rnacentral:rRNA from 1 species
UACGGGGGGGUAAGCGUUAUCCGGAGUUACUGGGCGUAAAGGGCGUGUAGGCGGUUUGUUAAGUCUGGCGUGAAAGCUCUCGGCUAAACCGGGAGAGGUCGUUGGAUACUGGCGAACUAGAGGAUGGUAGAGGCGUGUGGAAUUCCGGGUGUAGUGGUGAAAUGCGUAGAGAUCCGGAGGAACACCAGUGGCGAAGGCGACACGCUGGGCCAUACCUGACGCUAAAGCGCGACAGCAUGGGGAGCAAACGGG